CAUAAUAAAUAUCCGGAAUAUGUUCAACCUCGUACACCAUAAAUUUUAUUUAAUACUAACAAAUAUCCAAACUACUGAGAUUGUGAUGUACCAUCAAAUAGAAUGUCAUGUUUAGAAAAGUAAAAAGGAAACAAUAUACCUGAAGAAUGAUCUCUGGUGUCAAGUUAAAGGUAAUCCUAUUUGGCUGAAUAAACAACAAAGAUAAGUAGUGUCACAAACUCUGCAUAAGAAUAUGAAAGGACAGACAAAACAGGUAAGAAUAACAUAUUU